UUUAGGACGUAAAAAGAAAUAAAAGGACUAGAGAACUACGAGCUAUAAUAGAGCUUAAAACUCAAAAGACUUGGCGGUGCUGUAUUAUAGUUUAGGGGAGCUUGCCUCGUAAGCGAUGAUCCACGAAAGACCUAACCUUUUCUAGUAUGUCUGUAUACCGUCGUCGUCAGUCAACUUUUUAGAAGAUAGAAGUAGGCAAGUAGAUUCUUAACUGAAGAAGCAUGAUUGUAUGUUUUUAUAUAAAUAUAAUAGAUUUAAGAUAAAAAGAAAUAUGAUAAUUAGCAAAGAUGUCAGAUCGAGGUGCAGCUGAUGAAGAGGGGUAAGGUGAGCUACAAUAAAAGAUAUAUUAUACGGAAGAUACACCUGCAAGGGGUAGAUGAAGGCGGACUUAAAAGUAAAAACAGAGAAUAAAAAUUGGUUGAAUAAAUGAAUCAGUGCGUACAUAUCGCCCGUCGCUCUCGUUAGAAAAUGAGAUAAGUCGUAACAAAGUAGGGGUACUGGAAAGUGUUCCU
rnacentral:rRNA from 1 species